rnacentral:lncRNA from 1 species
UUUCCUUUUUUAUUUCCUAAUUUUCCCCUGUUUCCCCUUUCUUUCUUUAGUGUAAAUCCUUUGUACUAAAACUUGUUUGGUAAUAAAUGUUGUAGGGAUGCAAAGCCCUCCAAAUCUCAUAAAAAAACUAAAAUCAUGUGGGGUUUGGAGGCGAAUCAAUUUUAAGUCCAUGAUUUUACAUAUUUUCCCGCUAGUAAUCUGGUCCUGAGGAUUUCCUUUUUCUUUUGCAGCACCUUGAAAAUGCUAAUGACCCUGCAUCUAGGAGUGUGCAUCCUUUUUGAAAGGACAUGGCUAAAGAUAUACUUGUUGGCGAGCUUCGUGUUUUGCAAAGUGCUCGUGCAUGAGUUGCGUCUUAUUGUGAGACUUUAAGAAUUUCAUAACGCUCGUAUCUACAGGGUAAUGUCUCUUCAAGAGGUGUGGGAAGGAAAAUCCUGAUAUAUGAGUUUGCUUGCGCUUCUGCAGU